UUAAUGAGAGUUUGAUCCUGGCUCAGGACGAACGCUGGCGGCGUGCCUAAUACAUGCAAGUAGAACGCUGAAGGAGGAGCUUGCUUCUCCGGAUGAGUUGCGAACGGGUGAGUAACGCGUAGGUAACCUGCCUGGUAGCGGGGGAUAACUAUUGGAAACGAUAGCUAAUACCGCAUAAUAGCAGUUAUUGCAUGAUAACUGUUUGAAAGGUGCAAUUGCACCACUACCAGAUGGACCUGCGUUGUAUUAGCUAGUUGGUGGGGUAACGGCUCACCAAGGCGACGAUACAUAGCCGACCUGAGAGGGUGAUCGGCCACACUGGGACUGAGACACGGCCCAGACUCCUACGGGAGGCAGCAGUAGGGAAUCUUCGGCAAUGGACGGAAGUCUGACCGAGCAACGCCGCGUGAGUGAAGAAGGUUUUCGGAUCGUAAAGCUCUGUUGUAAGAGAAGAACGAGUGUGAGAGUGGAAAGUUCACACUGUGACGGUAUCUUACCAGAAAGGGACGGCUAACUACGUUCCAGCAGCCGCGGUAAUACGUAGGUCCCGAGCGUUGUCCGGAUUUAUUGGGCGUAAAGCGAGCGCAGGCGGUUAGAUAAGUCUGAAGUUAAAGGCUGUGGCUUAACCAUAGUACGCUUUGGAAACUGUUUAACUUGAGUGCAAGAGGGGAGAGUGGAAUUCCAUGUGUAGCGGUGAAAUGCGUAGAUAUAUGGAGGAACACCGGUGGCGAAAGCGGCUCUCUGGCUUGUAACUGACGCUGAGGC
rnacentral:rRNA from 1 species